rnacentral:rRNA from 1 species
UACGUAGGGUGCAAGCGUUGUCCGGAAUUAUUGGGCGUAAAGAGCUCGUAGGCGGUCUGUCGCGUCGGCUGUGAAAACCCGGGGCUCAACCCCGGGCCUGCAGUCGAUACGGGCAGACUAGAGUGCGGUAGGGGAGACUGGAAUUCCUGGUGUAGCGGUGAAAUGCGCAGAUAUCGGGAGGAACACCGGUGGCGAAGGCGGGUCUCUGGGCCGUAACUGACGCUGAGGAGCGAAAGCGUGGGGAGCGAACAGG